CUCUUAGCUAGAUUGCCAUCCAUAGAGGAAUGAAUAAUGUUGAUUUUACUCCCACUCUUUUUUCAUGAUUGAAUAUGAAAUUUUCUACUAAAGAGACAUCAGAGCUUUUUGUGUUUUUUUUUUUCAACAGGAAAUUUAAAGAUAGAGGUUAAAAUUAAACAGCUGCAAGUCUGAAGAAAGCUGUUUAGGCAUGAACUUCAAAGUCCAGUGUUAGAAUUAAAGGAUAUAAUAGGCUAAUUUUAAGCAUUUUAAAAGACUACAAAUAAUCUUCCCAUGUGCGCGGUGUGGAAAGGAGAGCUUGUCACACAUAUGAGUGCAUUUGUUCUGAAACAGCUGCAAUAACCCACACACUAUUCCCCAACUGGGGCUUUAUCUUCUACUCCUAAAGAUAGGAAGAGAAAGAGAAUAAGAACAGAAUUUCAAUGAACAGCACUACAGACAAACUACUGCCUAGCCAUGGCACCUACAUCUUGUACUUGUGUCUUCAUUUUUAUCCAAGGUAACUAAGUCACCCAAAUAGCAAAUGUGAUCCAACUUUUGGAUUUUGAGCCUCAGUUUCUCUGCCUGCUUGACUCAUUGAGGUAGGAACAAGUGGAAGGCAGCCUGGUGAGAAUUCCACUCAAGCAUGAAGAUUCAGACUAGCCCUAAGUUCCAAAGCAAUUUUAUAAGACUUCAAAUCUACCAAUAGGACAACCUUUGUGCACUCCGUGGUAUUAUUAUAUGUCAGAAACUGUGGUAAGCCCUGUGAAAUACAAAGUUAAAAUAAGCUACAAUUCAUGUUUGAAAGCAGCUUAAGGGUGAUUAGGGACUAAGAACUCUGAAACAAGUAAAAGAGAGUUUGCACAAAAUGGGAAGUCACUAAGAGUACUUGAAGACAGUCAGGUAGGGAGUAGUCAUUUCCAACUGAAAGAACUGGGUCUGAG
rnacentral:lncRNA from 1 species